ACCUUUAUUUAUGGAUUAUGUGGUGAUGAUCCAACUCAGUGCCUCAGACGUGGUAGGAACAUCCACCAUCCCAUCAGCAAAAGAGUGUGUAAGCAAGAAAAUGAAGCUGUGUUUAAGGAGUCCUCCUCAUCUGCUGUGUGCUCUUAUUCAGUCAAAAACCUCUCUGGGCUUUUUCUAUCACCUGGAAAACGGAAGAGAGAUUAUUUCUGACCUCUCCUGACUCUGAGAUAUGGACCAAGUGAAUGAGUUCAUGUUUCCACCAUGCUUUGAAGUUGUCAGAAGACAGAUUGUAUGUGACUCUGAAGUCUUGGGUCUUCCCAUGAAAAUGUGGCUCAGAAAUUCCUCCCUGGAUAUGACCCACUUAAUAUCUAUCUGAUGGCCUAUAGCUUUGCUAUAGCACAGCCAUGGCUGCAGAAGGAAAAAGAGAUUAAAAAAACCCAAAAAAUCCAGACCUGAUCAUUUUCUUUCAAAGCCAAGCUUUCCUUAAGUGUAAAUUAUAUGGCCUCUGCCGAAGUUAAAAGUAUCAUCAAAGCUGAAAGAAGGUUGGUUGAAAUAGUCCACUUGGCAAAAAUGGCUUCCACAGGACAACAACUAGAGCUCCUUUCAGAGACUUAAAGCCACCUUGUUGGGAAAGGAGCAAAUGGCUCCGUGGGGUUGAAAUAUCUUGGCUCCUUCAUAGUGAUGACAGUUGAGCCCAGUGCCAGAUUCUGUUCCAGUGGAUAAAGUCUGAACUUGAAAGAUGUCACAGUAUUCCCCAAAGCUAACAUUCCUAAGAAAGACUGCAUUGUCAGCAGGGGAAAAGUGACCCUGGCUCUCACCUUGGUUAUACCUCUGGGACAGAAAGACCCAAGCCAAGGUGAAGACGAUGGCUGCCGCAGAAGUCAUUCCUUAAUUUGGUGGCUCCAAAGGUGGACAUUUUGCUGAAAAAAAAAAAAGUGGAACCCAGUGGCACCAAGCCACCAUGUGACAGGCGAAUGCACUGGGAUACAUCAGAAAGCAUUAUUUUUAGAAGACAAUCAGCAUGCAAUUGUAAAAGGACCCCAUCAAACCGCUUCUGACCUUGAAGCAGGAGGCGAAACGUGGGGUCUAACAAACAGAGCAGAGUGGCCUUGGCGAAGGAGCGGACAUGGCCAAGACAGCGUGCAUGACAAAACGGAGGGACAAAGAAAGAAAAUGAGAAUUUCUGAAAGAGGUGACAGACACUGAUGCUACUUUGAGAAGAAGAAAAGAGAGAGAAAAAUCUUUGGAAUCAUGGCAUCUAUAUGCUAGUUUUCCUGCUGUUAGUAGGAGGCCUGAGGCUGCCCAGCUUGACUGAAAUCAAGAGAAAGGAGUGUUGUUCCUGUCAGCCUACCUCAGAGUCCUCGGCCAUUUAAGGAGCAUCAUCGAUCUCAUCAGCCACACUGAGAUAUAAUUGACCAUCGAGAAAGAAAAAAAUCACUGGAAGGCACUUAUUCCCAUCAGAAUGUGACACGGGCAAUGUGUGACCUCCGAGCCAGCCCAUUUUUGCAGAUUCCGCUCUCCCUACCCCUCUCUUGACUUCUGUUUCCUUCUUUGGAAGUGGGCAUGUUCCUAGUGGCCUCUGUCAUCAGGUUAUUGGAAAGAAUCACUAGUUAAUGUUGGGGAAAAGCGUUGGGGAAGAUGACUUACUUGUGCCCUUAAGGAUCAUUCUUCAGAACAAUACGCAGUAUUUUUGUUGAAUGGGCACACUCGGUGCUUGCCCUGAUCUGGGGACUUAGAAACGACCUGAUGCUGGCCAGUUAACACCAGCAGUUAAAGAAACUGCCAUUGUUCUCUCCAAGGAUUGUCUGCAUGGAAAUCUAGCCCUGGCAAUUUGUAAUGAGGCAGGAUGCUUAUUAAUGAUUUUUGGCUUAAUGUAUUAAUGAAUAGAGAUUUAAGGGAUAAAAAGACUUACAAUGUAAUAAGGGAAACUCCAAGAAAGAUUAGGCUCUAAUCAAAAUAAAUUGUGUUCUCAGAUUGAUUUCCAUAAAAUUCAACUCCCUUUUCCCUUUAUUUAUAACCUCAAAGAAAUGUAUUGUGCUAAGCUGAAUUGUAUCACUCAGAAAGAAGAAUGGAUAUUCUAUUUUAAUAUAAUAUGAAUAAACUACAAAUGUCAACUUACUAGGAAAAAAAAAACACCCUGUAGAGCUAGAGUAGAUAUUUUCAGUAAGAAAAAAAAAAUUACAUCUAAAUGUCAAUUUAUUUUCUUUUUCUCAAUAGUACUUUUCAUGUUUAAUUCAAGAUCUGAUUAGCACUAUCAAAAAAAAACCCCAGAUAAAAUAGCAAUGUUAUGAAUAGCAAUACAAUUUGUUAAGAUUAGCUUUUCUUUCUCUUCCUCCUCCUCCUUCCUAAUUUCUUCCAAGUGAUAACAAUGUGCUUUACUCUCUCCUAUGAGGAGACGACUUCUUCUAAGAAAGUGCAUUCAGAACUCCAAUUUAGUUCAUUAUAAAGACCGAAAGAGAGUACUGUCAAACCAUGAGUCAAGAUCACUCUAUUGAGCACCCAACUAUUCUGGACUUGUCCAUAUCUUCAUGUUCUAUCUCUUCAGCAUGAAAGCAGAGACUUCAUCUGUACUUUUCUUUCUUCGACUGCCAAUAAUAAUAAAAAAAAAGGUACUUAGAACAUGCAAAUCUGCCUUCCAUUGGACACAAAAUCCUUCUGCAUCCAAUUGACUAGAAUUAGAAAAGGAAAUGCAACCUUUGGACUAACUCUGGAGCCCAGUGGUAUAACAUGAUGUCCCUUAGCAGCCACAAAAUAUUUAGUUCCUCUCCCAUAUGGCUAUCUAUCUUGCAAGAGGACCCGACCACUACAAAUCCUUUACAAGGAACACUGCCUCAAAUUUGGAGUCACUCUUCAUUGGCAAAUUGCAUGGGGACUCUCUGGUAAAACCCCCAGUUGACCUUCUGUGGUUUCCCGGGUUAAUCUUUUUCUACCUCAUUGCUUAGUUUUGAAGAGAGGGGGCUCCAUUUGUGUUUAUGGUAAUAUUGAUUUAUUAUUCUAAAAAAAAAAAAAAAAGACUGUGCAAUAUAGGCCUAAAAAA